rnacentral:rRNA from 1 species
UACAGAGGGGGCGAGCGUUGUUCGGAAUUACUGGGCGUAAAGGGCGCGUAGGCGGCCCGCUAAGUCGAACGUGAAAUCCCCAGGCUCAACCUGGGAACUGCGUCCGAUACUGGCAGGCUUGAAUCCGGGAGAGGGAUGUGGAAUUCCAGGUGUAGCGGUGAAAUGCGUAGAUAUCUGGAGGAACACCGGUGGCGAAGGCGGCGUCCUGGACCAACACUGACACUGAGGUGCGAAAGCGUGGGGAGCAAACAGG